rnacentral:rRNA from 1 species
CUAUAAUGCAAGUCGAGCGAAUGGAUUAAGAGCUUGCUCUUAUGAAGUUAGCGGCGGACGGGUGAGUAACACGUGGGUAACCUGCCCAUAAGACUGGGAUAACUCCGGGAAACCGGGGCUAAUACCGGAUAACAUUUUGAACCGCAUGGUUCGAAAUUGAAAGGCGGCUUCGGCUGUCACUUAUGGAUGGACCCGCGUCGCAUUAGCUAGUUGGUGAGGUAACGGCUCACCAAGGCAACGAUGCGUAGCCGACCUGAGAGGGUGAUCGGCCACACUGGGACUGAGACACGGCCCAGACUCCUACGGGAGGCAGCAGUAGGGAAUCUUCCGCAAUGGACGAAAGUCUGACGGAGCAACGCCGCGUGAGUGAUGAAGGCUUUCGGGUCGUAAAACUCUGUUGUUAGGGAAGAACAAGUGCUAGUUGAAUAAGCUGGCACCUUGACGGUACCUAACCAGAAAGCCACGGCUAACUACGUGCCAGCAGCCGCGGUAAUACGUAGGUGGCAAGCGUUAUCCGGAAUUAUUGGGCGUAAAGCGCGCGCAGGUGGUUUCUUAAGUCUGAUGUGAAAGCCCACGGCUCAACCGUGGAGGGUCAUUGGAAACUGGGAGACUUGAGUGCAGACCACGAACGUGCAAUUCUACGUGUACCGUUGACCUNUCCCNNACCCCUNUAGGAACACCAGCCCUUAAUGCCACUUUCUUGUCCNNUCCUCACACUCCCUCUCUCAAGCGUGGGGCGCAAACCCUCUUAUCCCCUCCCU